GCCUCCGUGGCCCAGUGGUAGAGCGUUGGGCUCCCGAUCCGGAGGUCCCGGGUUCGAAUCCCAGUGGGGACA